GAUGAAGAACGUAGCGAAAUGCGAUAAGUAAUGUGAAUUGCAGAAUUCCGUGAAUCAUCGAAUCUUUGAACGCACAUUGCGCCCCCUGGUAUUCCGGGGGGCAUGCCUGUCCGAGCGUCAUUGCAACCCUCAAGCGCGGCUUGUGUGUUGGGCUUCGUCCCCCCGUGGACGUGCCCGAAAGGCAGUGGCGGCGUCCCGAAUGGUGCCCGAGCGUAUGGGAACUCUCUUCCGCUCGAACCGGCCCAUUCGGCGCUGGUUGAACCCCAAUUUUUUUUACCGGUUGACCUCGGAUCAGGUAGGGAUACCCGCUGAACUUAAGCAUAUCAAUAAGCGGAGGA
rnacentral:misc_RNA from 1 species